UACGUAGGGGGCAAGCGUUGUCCGGAAUCAUUGGGCGUAAAGAGCGUGUAGGCGGCCCGAUAAGUCCGCUGUGAAAGUCCAGGGCUCAACCCUGGAAUGCCAGUGGAAACUGUCGGGCUGGAGUCCGGAAGAGGCGAGUGGAAUUCCCGGUGUAGCGGUGAAAUGCGCAGAUAUCGGGAAGAACACCCGUGGCGAAGGCGGUUCUCUGGGACGGUACUGACGCUGAGACGCGAAAGCGUGGGGAGCGAACAGG
rnacentral:rRNA from 1 species